rnacentral:rRNA from 2 species
UACGUAGGGCGCAAGCGUUGUCCGGAAUUAUUGGGCGUAAAGAGCUCGUAGGCGGCUUGUCACGUCGGAUGUGAAAGCCCGGGGCUUAACCCCGGGUCUGCAUUCGAUACGGGCUAGCUAGAGUGUGGUAGGGGAGAUCGGAAUUCCUGGUGUAGCGGUGAAAUGCGCAGAUAUCAGGAGGAACACCGGUGGCGAAGGCGGAUCUCUGGGCCAUUACUGACGCUGAGGAGCGAAAGCGUGGGGAGCGAACAGG